AUGUCUCGCUGUGUAUAUGUCUCGCUGCCAGGCCGCUCUGAACCGUCUGUGGCACAUGCGUGGCCCCUUCAGGCGGCACGGGACAGGCCCAUCGACGGGACCGGUGGACUGGUGGUCAUCGUGUCAACACCCAGGUCCCCAAAAGGAAAAAGAGGCAUGGAAGGCGAGGGCAGUAUGGGGCGUGGUGAAUAUCCACUGGCUCAGAGCCUCACUAUGAGUCCAGGCUGGCCUCUCACUCCUGUCAAUUCUCCUGCCUCAGCCUCCUGAGUGCUGGGACUACAAGCAUGCACCACCAUGCCUGGUUUAAUUAAAGAAAAUCUUAAUGGAUGAUUCUGGUCUUAUUGAGAUGAAGUCCCUAUUUUAAUUUUUGCUGUUCAUGUUUAAUUUGUACCCUUGGCUUAAUAUGUUGCCCAUUUCAACAAAAUCUUUUGUGCACAUAAUCUUUAAACAUUUUUUUUUUCUGAGAGGUGGUCUCCCAGGUUAGCUCAGGCUGGCCUUGAAUUUGCUAGGAGGCCCAGGUCAGCCUCAAACUUGAAAUUCUCCUGUGUCAGCCUCCGGAGUGCUGGAAUGACAGGUGUGGCCACCACUCCCAGCAAGUUCAUUAUUUUAAAAGUUCUGAAAAAUCAUGCAACAUGCUGAGAAUUUGAUCCGAAGUAAUUUUCUGGUAGGUUGCAUACCAAGGAGAUCUUGGAGUAGCAGCU
rnacentral:lncRNA from 1 species